rnacentral:rRNA from 1 species
UACGAAGGGGGCUAGCGUUGUUCGGAAUUACUGGGCGUAAAGCGCACGUAGGCGGAUACUUAAGUCAGGGGUGAAAUCCCGGGGCUCAACCCCGGAACUGCCUUUGAUACUGGGUAUCUCGAGUCCGGAAGAGGUGAGUGGAAUUCCGAGUGUAGAGGUGAAAUUCGUAGAUAUUCGGAGGAACACCAGUGGCGAAGGCGGCGAUCUGGACGAUAACUGACGCUGAGGCGCGAAAGCUAGGGGAGCAAACGGG